rnacentral:rRNA from 1 species
AACGAACGCUGGCGGCGUGGAUUAGGCAUGCAAGUCGAACGGAACUUCUAGCUUUUUCGGAAGUUUAGUGGCGAACGGGUGAGUAACACGUGGGUAAUCUGCCCUUGACAUCGGGAUAGCCCGGGGAAACCCGGAUUAAUACCGAAUAGCCUCCGGAGCCUUCGGGCGCCGGAGAAAAGGUAGCUUCGGCCUCUGGUCAAGGAUGAGCCCGCGGCGGAUUAGCUUGUUGGCGGGGUAACGGCCCACCAAGGCGACGAUCCGUAGCUGGUCUGAGAGGACGAUCAGCCACACUGGGACUGAGACACGGCCCAGACUCCUACGGGAGGCAGCAGUGGGGAAUCUUGCGCUAAUGCGGGAAACCGUGACGCAGCGACGCCGCGUGGGGGAAGAAGGCCUUCGGGUUGUAAACCUCUUUCAGGAGGGACGAAGCUACUCGGGUUAAUAGCCCAGAGGGUGACGGUACCUCCAGAAGAAGCCCCGGCUAACUACGUGCCAGCCGCCGCUGUAAUAC